GACGAACGCUGGCGGCGUGCUUAACACAUGCAAGUCGAACGGAAAGGCCCUGCUUUUGUGGGGUGCUCGAGUGGCGAACGGGUGAGUAACACGUGAGUAACCUGCCCUUGACUUUCGGAUAACUUUAGGAAACUGGGGCUAAUACCGGAUAGGAGCUCCUGCUGCAUGGUGUGGGUUGGAAAGUUUCGGCGGUUGGGGCUGGACUCGCGGCUUAUCCGCUUGUUGGUGGGGUAGGGGCUUACCAAGGCUUUGACGGGUAGCCGGCCUGGGAGGGUGGCCGGCCACAUGGGGACUGAGAUACGGCCCAGACUCCUACGGGAGGCAGCAGUGGGGAAUAUUGCACAAUGGGCGGAAGCCUGAUGCAGCAACGCCGCGUGCGGGAUGACGGCCUUCGGGUUGUAAACCGCUUUCGACUGUGACGAAGCGUGAGUGACGGUAAUGGGUAAAGAAGCACCGGCUAACUACGUG
rnacentral:rRNA from 1 species